rnacentral:misc_RNA from 1 species
ACACGAUGAUGACGUGCUAAUGGUUAAUGGCUUCCACUCGGUCGAGCUAGCUUUUAUGAGCGAGCUACAUUCAAUCCAAAGAAAACACAUGAGAUAUGAUGCGAUCGACUGCUAAAAUCAUAAAAAUAUGAUUGUCUGAGAGCCGUAAAGUCACGAUAGCAUUAAAUUUCUGACCAGACGCACCACGUUCAUCUGCGAAUUAUGUGCUGAAAAUCUCGGGUCUGCACGAAGGAAGCAACGACGGGACGACGUAACCACCGUUACGCACCUCUCAUCGAUCCUACGUGCUGGUUUCGGCCCUGAUGCGAAGGACACCGUUACUUGCCGCGACUUUGCAGGACACAAAUCGCACUAGGUGACAUGCCUCGAGAGGUUGAUCAUAAUGGGAGAUUUCGCUCGCGCAGACGAGGCAGCACAGGUAGCGAUGUGAACCGGCACAGCUUUGAGAGCAAUGAUAAGAGACAUCGCAGACAUGGCAAAAGUAAGAGCUCUGGCAAGAAAAAGAAGAAACGUUCGCGCGACAAGUCUGUAGAAAACGUGCCAACUGUUGCAUCGUCUAUUAUUAAACCUCUGGUGGAGUAUUCAGAUGUGAGUAGUGAAGAUCUGUCUGAGCCUGAAGCCGGAGAAAUACAGUCGGAGGACAGUCGUGGCAAUAGUUACACAGAUGGUGAAGUACCUGAGCCACUCCUUCAAAGGCGAUAUUAUGGUGGCAGUCCUGUUCGCCCUCUCGGAAUAUCGCCGAUCAGCUUGUCACCGUCUCCGCCGCCUUCACAUCGGCAUUCUGGUAGGCAUUAUUCACCGAAUGAACAACAACAACAGCCGACUACGAUACACGGUGCAACAUCCGAGUAUGAGGAGGAAUCGAGGCGAUACGCUCGACGAAAGGAGAAAAAGCAUAAGCGGGAAAAGAAGAAAAAGAAGAGCCUCAGUCCUUCGUCUAAUUCUAGCAAGAAGAAGAAAAGAAAGACCAAGAGGCAUUCUCACAGUGUAAGUCCUCAUGGAAACGUGAUGGUGACUGAGGAGAUCGUCGCAAGCCCGGAGCGUGAGAAAACAGGCACUAAUUGGUCGGAAUCGCCACCAUUGCCGCUGAAAGAUAACAUGUCGCCAAUCUCACCAGCGACGCCGCAUGAGCAAAGAUGUCUCAGCGACGUGGAAAUAGAGAUGUCGAGGCAGCCGCGAAAUAUUACGCCGCCUCUUUUACCGUCAAUGCGGCAAACAGAAUCACCACAUACUCCAUUACUACCUCCGCGCGCUAUGACGCCGGAAAGUAACAAAGUCUCACUGAAGCACAGUCCUGAUCGUGGACGGGACAAACGUAGUCCCAGCAUUCACGCACGACGUAGCAGUGGCAGCCCAGGACCAGCCGCGAUUGGUUCCGGCCGUAGAAGGCCCCAUAGCCCAAGCCCGCCGUCGAGACGAAGGGACCAUAGUCCGCCACGAAGAAGAGAAUUCAGUCCUGUGCCAGUCCUUCAUAAUAGACUCAGGCAUAGUCCGAGUCCUGCUACGGUCAGACGACGCGAAUUCAGCCCCAGCCCUGUGAGUCACAGACGACGAACAGAAACAAUGAACUCUCCACCUUCUAAACGUAGAAGACGAGAGGAUUCUGAUCGACGUCACAGACAUCAUGAAAAAGACAGGAGGGAUAAGCGAAAAUCGAGAUCCACUAGAAGCCCAAGCAGAUUACACGUACCUCUUUCCCGAUCACGAUCUCGCAGUCCUGGCAGAUGGCGAAAGCUCUCUCGCUCGAGGUCGCAUUCACGCAGAAGAAGUCGCACCCCGAAGAAAUCGCGCUCGCCCAGCAAGACCCAUAAGUCGUCAAGGAAACAUAAAUCAAAGAGCCCUCGUCCGAGAAUACCCUCUCCUUCUCCUCACAGGUCUAGGGCCAGAAGCCCAUCGAGCAUCACUGCUCGAAAUCUUAGAGUACAAGCGAAAAUCAGCGAAACUAGCUUGUUCGCGGAGCUCGUGAAGGACCGGAAUAUGAGGGAACUCGCGUACAAAAAGCUACAGGCUGCGAAGGAGAAGGCCGUCAACCAAGAUGAGGUGCAAAUCAUAGAGGGCACAGAAGAGAAGGACAGCAGCAACGCGUCCACUGAGAACAAAGCUUCCAUUGACAAUAAGGACAAACCUGUGAAUAACAAGGACCAGCUCGUCAAACUUGGCGGCGAAAGCACAGCAAAGUGCGUCGACAUCGUCGACAUUCCCGUGCCGACGAGCGACGACAGCGGUCUGUCUGGCAAAACGCCGCCGUUACCGGCUAACCAGCCGACGAUACCACCAGCUUCGACAUCUGCAGCGAAUUUGACUCCUCACGCGAUUGCAAAUACCUCACCCACCGUGUCCGCAGUAUCCAAUAAUUGCCCGGUCGCCGUCUCCCAGAGUCCGAACUUCCCUGCGCACACAAGUGUACAGCAACCGCCCCCACCGCCACCACUGCCGCAAUCCGAGUCCACGUCGACAGUAUUGCCACCAGUGUCUUUGCCUGUUUCGGCUAUGUCUGUGCCAAUUCCACCGGCACCAGUCUUACCGAACAUGUCUGUUCCACCGCCACCUAUCCCAAUUCCAGUACCGGCGCCGAACACGAUCAUGUCUAAGUUCAAUGCUCCGAAUAAUCUGGUUCCUCUGAAAUCGGUGGAUCCGCCUAAGCCUCCCAUAGUAGCCUUCAAAACGAAGAGUCUUUCGAGAUUGCCAUUACCACCUGGAAUCAAUCAGAACGAUUUGGAGAGCAUCGAUUCCCCGCCGAGUCGUUCUCCAAGUCCGCCCAGUAAGACGCAGGUAAAGUUCCCAACUUCGACACCAAAACUGCCGCAGAAGAAGAGCAUCAAAGAUCUACCGAUGCCACCAGUCGUACCCGGAUCAGAAGAUUUGAGCGGCGAGGACGACCCGAACGCGACUCCACCGCGUUUAAAGAUGGAACGAAUGGCACCGAAACCGAAACUGAAGAGACCAAAAAUACUGAAGCGACGCGGAUCGCGAAACUGUCAUACUCCUACGUUAGCCUCCGGCGGCAAAGAUUGGGGUGAACGCUGCGUGGACGUGUUUGAAUUCAUCACACAGAUCGGAGAGGGUACUUACGGACAAGUAUACAAAGCGCGAGAUAAGAGGUCCAGCGCGCUUGUAGCCUUGAAGAAAGUUCGGUUGGAGAAUGAGAAAGAGGGCUUCCCCAUUACAGCAGUUAGAGAGAUAAAGAUCUUACGACAACUCAAUCACAAGAACAUUGUUAAUCUUAGGGAAGUUGUCACUGACAAACAGGACGCACUGGAUUUCCGAAAGGAUAAAGGUUCCUUUUAUCUAGUUUUCGAGUAUAUGGAUCAUGAUCUAAUGGGUCUUUUGGAAUCCGGUAUGGUGGAUUUUAAUGAGAUGAAUAACGCCAGUAUCAUGAAGCAGCUCUUGGAUGGUUUGAAUUACUGUCAUAGCAAGAAUUUUCUGCACAGAGACAUCAAAUGUUCGAACAUAUUGAUGAAUAACAAAGGGGAGGUUAAACUGGCUGAUUUCGGAUUGGCGCGACUUUAUAACGCAGAAGAUCGACAGAGACCGUAUACCAACAAAGUGAUUACUUUAUGGUACAGACCUCCUGAACUUUUGUUGGGAGAGGAACGUUAUGGACCUGCGAUUGAUGUGUGGAGCUGUGGAUGUAUAUUGGGAGAAUUGUUUUGGAAAAAACCUUUAUUCCAGGCCAAUGUAGAUAUGAUGCAGCUGGAAUUGAUUUCGAGAGUUUGUGGUACACCUACUCCAGCUGUCUGGCCUUCUGUGAUAAAAUUGCCACAUUGGCAUACACUUAAGCCAAAAAAGUCGCAUAGGAGACGUUUGAGGGAGGAUUUCUCAUUUAUGCCAGGGCCAGCUUUGGACCUUCUGGAUAAAAUGUUGGAAUUAGAUCCUGAGAAACGGAUAACAGCAGCAGACGCACUCAAAAGUGCUUGGUUGAAGAACGUUCAACCCGAACAAAUGCCAGCGCCGCAGCUUCCUACCUGGCAGGAUUGUCAUGAGCUUUGGUGGAAAAAGCGAAAACGCUUGUUACGGGAACAGCAAGAUAAUGCUACCACCAAGAUGCCUCUUCUUCCGUUCCCAAAUAAAGGAGGCCCUCACAAGGAUGAUCUGUCAGAUGUCGGGGGGUAAUCGUAUCUCCAAAGAAGCCAUCCAACAGACAACAUAUGGAAAUUACUUGGAAAUUACUUGUUUACCAACGUGCUCUAUGGAGAUAAUAUAAUAGAGGCUGAAUUGUAUAGAUGGACAAAUUUUGUAGCACUUGUAAGAAUAUAUAAUAGGU